AAAUAAAAAUAUAGAUAUUGGGAAAAAAAAAAGAACAAAAAAAAUACCAAAUAUAAAAAUAAUAUAUCUAGGAAGACAGAGAGAGUGAAUACUCUGUCUAUCUGUAUGUCUCUCUGUCUCUUAGUUAUAUAUCCCCUAUGUGUUUUUGUUUUUCUCAUCGAGAUUGAUCUAGAAAGGUUAACUCUCAUCUCUUUCGACAUGAGAAUAAAAAAAUGGUUGGACUUAUAUAUAUCUAUGGUUUUUUUUUUUAAUA
rnacentral:ribozyme from 13 species